AUAUGGAUGAUGAUACCCACAUGCGCGAGACAGAUAAACGUGACGCUGACAAAUGAAGGAAAACCCCGAGGCAAUGCUAAAACCGCGAGGGUGAAUUGAAAUGUCGUCAUCAAUUUUAUUUAUGUUUACAUAUAUGCGUCGCGUCGCGUGGUAGGUAUACCGCCGCCGUUCGAAGAAAGCGCCGCGGAAAACGGAUAAUAUUAUGGCGAAACCCGAGAGUAUAAUAAUAUUUUUGUACACUCGAAUAUAUAGGUGUACUCGUCUCCGAAAAACAUAACGUACCGAGUAACGACGACAAUAAUAACAGCAAUUAUGUGCUGCACUGGUACAACAGUGCAGCCAUACGCGGCCUGCUGUAUUUCACUUGCGCGGGUCCGGAAGAAACGUCGGGGUUACCUAAAACAGGAGGGUAUACUAGCAACGUAAACGACGUGUGUCCUGUAGUCGCUCGGGAUUCAAACCGGACCGAUCCCCGUGGUCUGUAUUCAACGCCCGGGGGUAGUGUAGAAUACGAUUUCAGUCAACGAUUAAUACUUUAACGAAGCUACUCUUUGUCCCUGGAUGACGCUGCGGGGCGGGCAUCACUCCGAACAUCAGCAAUGGCUUUAGUUUACGGUGUAGCCGGGUAUUUAUCGUGAAUCCGUUUAUUCCGAAAGUCUACACUUCGCGCGCAAGUCGGUACCCAACUGAAUAAUACGACGCGGAUCGCGAAAGAGACGGUGGUACCUACCCAAAAGGAACGGUUACCAAUCCUGGCCGAUGUGACACCCUCGGACCUUCGAAAGCGGGAGUCCGUCAAACGGAUAAUGGACAAAAUCAAACACGAUCCAAGUCCAGGUAUGUUUCGAAUUUAGUACAUCCGCCUACUGAAAUACAUGGACACCGUGUUAUGUACGUAUUGAUCGAGCGUCGUUUUAUAGCCGUUUUAAUUUUCGUUCAGAAUCUUGGAUC